rnacentral:misc_RNA from 1 species
UUUCCGUAGGUGAACCUGCGGAAGGAUCAUUCAUAAUAAGUGUUUUAUGGCACUUUUUUAAAUCCAUAUCCACCUUGUGUGCAAUGUCAGGGUUGAUUUUUCUCUCGAGAGGAUCAACCCCAAACAUCAACUAUAUCUCAACUCUUUGUCUGAAAAAUGUUAUGAAUAAAACAAUCCAAAAUACAACUUUCAACAACGGAUCUCUUGGCUCUC